rnacentral:rRNA from 1 species
GCAGUCGAGCGGACAGAUGGGAGCUUGCUCCCUGAUGUUAGCGGCGGACGGGUGAGUAACACGUGGGUAACCUGCCUGUAAGACUGGGAUAACUCCGGGAAACCGGGGCUAAUACCGGAUGGUUGUUUGAACCGCAUGGUUCAAACAUAAAAGGUGGCUUCGGCUACCACUUACAGAUGGACCCGCGGCGCAUUAGCUAGUUGGUGAGGUAACGGCUCACCAAGGCAACGAUGCGUAGCCGACCUGAGAGGGUGAUCGGCCACACUGGGACUGAGACACGGCCCAGACUCCUACGGGAGGCAGCAGUAGGGAAUCUUCCGCAAUGGACGAAAGUCUGACGGAGCAACGCCGCGUGAGUGAUGAAGGUUUUCGGAUCGUAAAGCUCUGUUGUUAGGGAAGAACAAGUACCGUUCGAAUAGGGCGGUACCUUGACGGUACCUAACCAGAAAGCCACGGCUAACUACGUGCCAGCAGCCGCGGUAAUACGUAGGUGGCAAGCGUUGUCCGGAAUUAUUGGGCGUAAAGGGCUCGCAGGCGGUUUCUUAAGUCUGAUGUGAAAGCCCCCGGCUCAACCGGGGAGGGUCAUUGGAAACUGGGGAACUUGAGUGCAGAAGAGGAGAGUGGAAUUCCACGUGUAGCGGUGAAAUGCGUAGAGAUGUGGAGGAACACCAGUGGCGAAGGCGACUCUCUGGUCUGUAACUGACGCUGAGGAGCGAAAGCGUGGGGAGCGAACAGGAUUAGAUACCCUGGUAGUCCACGCCGUAACGAUGAGUGCUAAGUGUUAGGGGGUUUCCGCCCCUUAGUGCUGCAGCUAACGCAUUAAGCACUCCGCCUGGGGAGUACGGUCGCAAGACUGAAACUCAAAGGAAUUGACGGGGGCCCGCACAAGCGGUGGA